AUAGAAGGAUUGAAUCAUACGAUAACUGCACCUAGAGAUUCGCACUUUCAUUCUACUAGAUUAUCACUACAUACUGCUAGGUGUCACUGAUAGAUUGUGAGACUCAUCGGAUAUCAUCUUGAUGAUCGAUGGCCCUCGAAGGGUAGAAUUGGAAGUGUUCCAAUCCAUCGAAAAGAGUUUCGAUGAUAUUAUGAUGGAGAUCACAAUAUAUCUCACUACC
rnacentral:lncRNA from 1 species